rnacentral:lncRNA from 1 species
GCCGGGAGCGCCUGCCCCGGCAUCGGCGGCACGCUGUACCGCGCGCACGGGGCCAGCUGGCUCAGCUGCGCCCCGCAGGUGCCGCGCGGCGGCUGCGCCUUGGCCGCGCCGCCCAGGGUCACCAGCAGCAGGACCAGGAGGGCCGCCUGGCCCGUGGUCGCCGCCAUCGUCGUCGUCGCCGGCGGCUCGGUGCGCGCGCUGCGAGCUUGAGAGACGGAAAUGAGUUCCUGUGUGUGUGGUUGGCGGUGUGGUGGUGGUGCGGGAGCGCGUGGUUUUAUAGGUGGGGCGACGGAGGUGGGAGGCGGCGAGUCUUGCGUUGCUCACCUACGCUACGCAGGCAGCGGGCGGUGCUCGGAUCGGCGCCGGGCGGGAGGAGCGGGCCACGGCAAGCGUGUGAGGCACUGAGGCUGACCCGACCCAACUAAUAAGCCCAGCUCGGAGACCCGCUUCGUCCGUUUGAUCAUCGGGACAAAAAAACUUGGUUCAACGUAGAGACAUGUUUGGACCGGUGUCCUUUCACUAUCCGCGCCGAUCCAAUCUUUGACGAAUACCAGCAAACAUGUCUGUGUGUUACAGCAGGAGAAAAAAAAAUCAUCCCUAAUAGGCACUGGCCGAUACCAGUAAAUCCCUUGAAAUCUCCACACAACAAACAAUAUGAUAAGUGACGUUGCGUUAAACGUAAUGGUGGAUGAUUUUUGAAGUGUAUUCAAGGUGCUUUAAAAAAAAGUUAUGGACAUAAUUAAAUUUUUUGGAAAUUAACAUUAAGCCACUUGUUUACAUAAAGCUCAAAUCAUCAAUUUAGUGUACAACAUCGUAUAUUGGUUGGUUAUAUUGUGCAUGAUGUGAAAUAGGAUGACCGUGUACCUAUUGUAACCUUUAGCAUACAAAGUAGCUAGUAGAAAUCAACAUCCGCUAUGGUGCCAAUACUAUCUUUUACGAGAGUAUUAAACUAUCGUAUCUAUUCAAGUUAAAUGGAAUAAAAAAAAUAUGUAAUAGGCAUUUUCAAAAUACCCAAUAUAGAGAAGGUAUUAAUCAAGGUUGCAACAUAUAUUUUAUUUUAAAAAUGAGUAACAUGUAAGAUAAGAGUAUAUUUGAAAUCUACAUAUUCUUUUGAACAAUUAUCAUAUAUAACAUGUUAGAUUUGGAAUUAGGGUUUGAAAGAUAUGAAUAUCCUAAAAAGCAUUUGAAUUAGAAAAAAUAGCAUUUGAAUUAGAAAAAAUGAAAAAGGGGUAGCUGUUUUGAUGUGUUUAAUUUGGGACCGCACUGUAUAUAAACCGAAGUAAACGCCCCAUGUAGCAAAUUGAACUGUUUUUUUGUUUAUGAACGAUAUGAUGGGUAAUUUGUGUUAACUUUGGGAUAGUUCUAAUGACGAACUUGGCAGAAACAAUAACCUUUUUAUUAGUACGCAUAGAUGGGCUAGAAUGGGUUUCAAACAAACAGAAACGGACACUCCCGUCGUUUGCUGGUGCUCGCUUGUGUCCACCCUGGUCCCAAAGACCAGCGACCGCACCAGCCGGGGCUUUGCCUCCAUAAUGACGUGCACCGGCGCAUGCCACCUCUCUUUUUGAGUCAGUCGUUGUGUUAGGAUCUUGCCGGCGGGCCCGCGGCGCCGAUGAUUGGCCGAUCGUGGCCGCCAGACGCCACGUCGGGGUCCGACCACACAAGGGGGAGGAGCGGGGCACGACGAUUACCUCGCCAUGGAGGAAGGGGCGGGGCACAUAUAAAGGAUGGACGCGUUGAUGCGGAGGGAGAGGGUCAUGAACUUCGAAAACAUUUUUCUGUGCAAAUAAAUAUUGAAAAGGUACACAAUUUAUGAAAUGCAUGAAUAUUUUAUAAAGUGUGAGCACUUUUAGAAAAUUCUGAAUACUUUGAAAACCAAUCAAUUUUGAUAAAACGAUAACACUUUCUGAAACAUAUAUUUUAAAUCUAGAACAACAAAUUUAAAGUGCGAACAUUCUUUGAAAAUUAAAAAAAUGGUAACAAAAUUUGAAACCUGAGCAAACGUGUAAAGAAAUGUUUUUGACAUCUAAAAAAUAUCACAAGUUUAGAGAAAUGUACAUGGCAUUUCAAAAAAAUGUAUGUAUAAUGUAAAUAAUAUCCGUGUAAUUCUAACAAAUGUUUCUUCCAUUCAAAAAGAUGCAACAUUUCAAGAAUGUUCAAGAGUUUCAAAACAUGUGCUUGUAACAUUUUUAGAAAGAAGUGUAUACAAUGUAAAAAAGUUAGCGUGACGUAAAUAAUGUGUCAUACCCUUAGAAAAUUAUACCCGACAUGUGUUUGAAAUUUUAUAAAUGUGUAACAAUGUAAAAAAAUGUUUGUAUAGUUUUACAAGAUGUCUGUAUAGUUUUAUAAAUGUCUAUCGUCGUUAAGAAAUAAAAAAAUAUAUUUGAAAAAUAUUACUGUGUAUUCAUUUCUUUAAACAUGUAUCUAAAAAGAUAUAAAUAAAGUAUCAAAAAAUAUUUGUGCUAAAAAUUUGCAAUGUGUACUGACAAUAAUUAGACAUGUGUAAAAUAUAUAAUUGGUUACCGUACAGAAACAAAACAAAAGCGAAAAAAAAGAAAACACUAUGAAGAAAAUCAAGAAAGAAACAAAAGAAAUCAAAAGUAUAACGAGAAAGUAAAACCAGAUAAUGCCAGUGAAAAAAUAAAGCAUAACGAACAAAAAAUCAAAGAAAAAAAAGAAAACAAGACCAGCACGAGAGACUGUGCCAAUGGGCUGGCGCAGUUCAGCGAAUACCGGCUAAAUUCUAUCAACGUUUAAAAUAGACCGGGAUCAAGGAUUUUGGUUUGCUGAUUCCAGGAAUUAAGAGUUCAGAGUUUGAUUUAGCUUCGGCCUAUAUAUAUGAAAGGUUUGUUUUGGAUUUUUUUCCUUUUUCUUUUUGCUAUACUCGAGCGGUCUGGUGUUGUGGUGCACGUUGGCUUCUCCUGCCCAGGAAUCACCUCGCCAACAAGAUCCAAAAUGUCCUAAUAAAGAAAAUAAAAUAAAAAGAACAUGUUUCUGUCAAAAUAGGUAGCACUGUUGGGUAAAAAGACGCACGCCUUCGUUGCUCUCGUGAGGCAGGCGAUUGGGGUUUUCGUUGCCUCCCGUCGCAUAGCCGUCGAGCUGCCUUGUCUUCUGUGGCCUUAGGAUCAUGUAGACGCGAUCGAUCUCGGUCCUUGCUGGGGGGGGGGAGGUGUUUCAUUUUUAGAGUUUGUUUGAGUUUUGAUAGGGUUUGUGUCUUGCUCAGAAAGAUGAGGCGGUGCGUGUUUCUUGGAGAUGGAAUAAGUUUUUCCUCAUAUAGCCCCAGAUGAAAUAAGUUUUUCCUCAUAUAGCCCCCACCCGUUCUGAUGAUGCUUCUAGCAUCGCCGGAGGGUGUAUGAAGAUUUAUCUCGGACGGAUCUCAGGAGAUUCAGUCGACGUUUGACUUUGAUGGAUCCGAUCGGAUCCAUUUUUCGUUCGUCUAAGUUGAUGUGUCGGCAGGUUGGAUUUUUGGUGCUUAGUGUUGUUUUCAUACGGGGCGCUCACUAGCAAAGCCAUUGGGCCAGCCCAUGUAAAGCGAACAGUGAUUGAGCUGCCCAAUC